ensembl:lncRNA
CGCUGAGUGGAGAGAGAGAGGGGGGAGAACCAGGGGGAGGAGAAAGGGAAGGAAGGAAGAGAGAGGGAGAGAGAGAGGUAGAGAGAGAGAAAGUUAAAAAAGAAGUUUUCAGAACUAUAAUUUCCUGUGAAAGUUCAUUCCAAAAAAAAACUGCGAAGGCGCUCGGCCGACCGAAGCCAUCGAGCCGUUUGCCCCCGGUAGGUGACACCAAGCCGAAGGGGUUUGAAGCAGCGACAGCCCGCUGGGCAGGAGGGGCAACUCGAGGGGGGAAAGGGAGGAAGAAAGCUGACGAGGGCUCCUCCGCUUUCCCUCUAUAGCCUUCGGGGUGUGAGACUGAAGUUGUACCUCCGCCAAGAAAGGUCACUGGGGUUACGUCAAUAUCACGUCUGGAGGAGGCUGGAUUCUGAUUUCCUUUUUCCGUCUCUGGCUCUGAUGUAAUCUCUGUUUUAUUCUUCAGGUUAAGAUGAUUUCAGAGAAAUAAUGAAUCUCCCAACGACAUUACGAACAUUAUGACUCCACAGGAUGCACUCGACUCAGUGUGAGCGGUACGCGUGACGGCAGCACAGUCCACCGGAGAAUUACUUUCUGUGGGUUUGCCGACCACGGGCGUUUUCAUUCUCUGAGCCUGGCGUUUAAAAAGAAGUAGAAAUGACUUCCCCUCAGUUUCAUUAGAAUUAUCCUGUGCAAACGUUCCCGUCAUCGUCGUUGUUAACGGAAGCCUGAUCAGUUGGAAAUGUGGAAGUACCGGUCGCGGGAGGGGGGGGGUCAGUAGGAAGGGAAUGAUGGAAGGAGAUAGAGAUGUGUGAGUGUGGUUAGAGGCGGUUGCUGGGGAGGUGGAGGGGGAGGCUGGGGGGAGGGGGGGGGGUUUGGCACAACCCAAAAUAGCCAGCUCACAUGUUGCGUGGUGUUGAGCUAUGAAACCAGCAGAAAGGCCUCCUGCUGAAUGCCGGCCUAAUCUAAUGCUCGCAACCCAACUCAACCCAACGGUUUCUCUCUGUCUGUACGUGUGUGUGUGUGUGUGUGUGUGUGUGUGCGCGUGUUUGCACGUCUUUUACAACCAGAGAGGCGCUCUCUUGUCAGCUGCCUCCACCCCUCCACCCCCUCGCCGCCCCCGCUGUGCUCAUCGUCAUCAUUAUUGUCUCCAUAAUGUGAACCGAUGUCUCCGGCUUACUGUAGUCCAGGAGGGAAAAGGUCAGGGACUAUUAGGCCUGUUUACACAUUUUUGGGCCAAGUGUAAAUGAGUCCCGGACGCGCAGAGGCAAAGCGCCGGCUCGCUGACUCGCGUUGGACAAGACGAGACACAGGCGCCCCCGCACGUGCGGCCUCCUUUUCUCAGUUGAUUCCCCUCAUUCCACGGAGUGUGUUUGGACAUGCUGGCUGGUUUACUGCCUCUCUCCUCUCGCGCUUGGUACUUCCUCAUCACUCGAUCUCGCUCCCUGUGUGUGUGUGUGUGUGUGUGUGUGUGUGUGUGUGUGUGUGUGUGUGUGUGUGUGUGUGUGUGUGUGUGUGUGUGUGUGUGUGUGUGUGUGUGUGUGUGUGUGUGUGUGUGUGUGUGUGUGUGUGUGUGUGUGUGUGUGAAGCCAACGGGGUUGUUUAUGUAUACAGGUGGUCGCGUUGAGCUAAUGCACGGCUGGAGCAAAGCAUGCUGGGAGUCAAGGAUCUGCUGAGGGGCCUGCGGUCUUUGUAUGUGCAGUGUGCUGACGUGCAGUCUGGUGUGUUUACAGACUCACAGGAAGCUUGUGUUUUGGACGAUGGAUUAUACGGUAAGACAUUCAAAUGAUGCAACGUGCUUAUCUAAAGCACAGUGGCAGAGGGCUCAUAACUCAUGUGUAAAAUGUAAAUGAGUUGGUUUUAAUAGUGCGUUAUGACAUGUGCAUUCAGGUCUAGGAGAUUACUGCAGAAAUGCUCUAAAAUAUUUUUUUAGAGAUAAAGGUGACCGCAGUUUUAAGAGUUAUUCAUUUUCACUAUAUCAAGAAUAAACCCUGCCGGAGGACGUGUCCUACAUACCUGUCAUUCAAUUAAUCUGAAUUCAACUUUAUUGAAUUGUGUAGUUGGUGAUGAAAAGAUGGAGCUCGGUGUGACUCAUAAAGAUUGGUUUCUCAGCAACGGCAGAAAACCGUAAUGUUAUUCAUCGGUUUAUGAACAAAGCCCAGCAUGUAGUCAAGGUAACAUACAGUUUGAUACAUUAUAUUUGUUCAUCCCUGUAGAUGAUUUCAGAAAACAGACCAUAUUUAAUUUGACGUUUUCCCCCUGCAGCGGCCUAAAAGAAAAAUAUGUCCAGUGUGCUGCAAUAAUGUGAAAAUGAAAACUGAAGUCGCCGUGUACGAUCGUGCCGCUGCUGCGUGUAUUUAAAUGUUUUAUGGUUUGCGUGAGUUACAGUUACACUCGGUCUUCCAAUGAAUACAUGUGUUUAUAAUAAAUUAUCAGAUGUUCAGUUUUCUGAUGGAAUUUGUGGAAUGGCCUUUUGAUUAAACUUCUGUUUCUGGUGCUGCUGAAUUUUAUUGCAUGAAAAAAAAAAAGAAAGCGAUGUGUAUCAUCUGCAAGGUGUAAUUACUAUUCAGUUUUAUUAGGAUGUACAUAAUAAUCCGCAGAUUAUUUUUCUAAAAAUACAAGCCCCAGUGUGUGAUGAGCU